CGGCGGACGGGUGAGUAACGCGUGGGUAACCUGCCUCAUACAGGGGGAUAACAGUUAGAAAUGACUGCUAAUACCGCAUAAGACCACGGUACCGCAUGGUACAGUGGUAAAAACUCCGGUGGUAUGAGAUGGACCCGCGUCUGAUUAGGUAGUUGGUGGGGUAACGGCCUACCAAGCCGACGAUCAGUAGCCGACCUGAGGGGGUGACCGGCCACAUUGGGACUGAGACACGGCCCAG
rnacentral:rRNA from 1 species